GUAGGUGGCAAGCGUUGUCCGGAAUUAUUGGGCGUAAAGCGCGCGCAGGUGGUUCUUUAAGUCUGAUGUGAAAGCCCCCGGCUCAACCGGGGAGGGUCAUUGGAAACUGGGGAACUUGAGUGCAGGAGAGGAAAGUGGAAUUCCACGUGUAGCGGUGAAAUGCGUAGAUAUGUGGAGGAACACCAGUGGCGAAGGCGACUUUCUGGCCUGUAACUGACACUGAGGCGCGAAAGCGUGGGGAGCAAACAGGGAUUAGAUACCCUGGUAGUCCACGCCGUAAACGAUGAGUGCUAAGUGUUGGGGGGGUUUUCGCCCCUCAGUGCUGCAGCUAACGCAUUAAGCACUCCGCCUGGGGAUACGGUCGCAAGACUG
rnacentral:rRNA from 1 species